GCCAGACCUGACUGCUAUCGGAUUGAUACUAAGCCAUGCGAGUCAUUGUAGUAAUACAAGGCAUACGGCUCAGUAACGCGUAGUCAACCUAACCUAUGGACGGGAAUAACCUCGGGAAACUGAGUAUAAUUCCCGAUAGAACAUUAUGCCUGGAAUGGUUUAUGUUCCAAAUGAUUUAUCGCCGUAGGAUGGGACUGCGGCCUAUCAGUUUGUUGGUGAGGUAAUGGCCCACCAAGACUAUUACAGGUACGGGCUCUGAGAGGAGUAGCCCGGAGAUGGGUACUGAGACACGGACCCAGGCCCUAUGGGGCGCAGCAGGCGAGAAAACUUUGCAAUGUGCGAAAGCACGACAAGGUUAAUCCGAGUGGUUUCUGCUAAAGGAACCUUUUGUUAGUCCUAGAAACACUAACGAAUAAGGGGUGGGCAAGUUCUGGUGUCAGCCGCCGCGGUAAAACCAGCACCUCAAGUGGUCAGGAUGAUUAUUGGGCCUAAAGCAUCCGUAGCCGGCUCUGUAAGUUUUCGGUUAAAUCUGUACGCUCAACGUACAGGCUGCCGGGAAUACUGCAGAGCUAGGGAGUGGGAGAGGUAGACGGUACUCGGGAGGAAGGGGUAAAAUCCUUUGAUCUCUCGAUGACCACCUGUGGCGAAGGCGGUCUACCAGAACACGUCCGACGGUGAGGGAUGAAAGCUGGGGGAGCAAACCGGAUUAGAUACCCGGGUAGUCCCAGCUGUAAACUAUGCAAACUCAGUGAUGCAUUGACUUGUGGUCAAUGCAGUGCUGCAGGGAAGCCGUUAAGUUUGCCGCCUGGGAAGUACGUACGCAAGUAUGAAACUUAAAGGAAUUGGCGGGGGAGCACCACAAGGGGUGAAGCCUGCGGUUCAAUUGGAUUCAACGCCGGA
rnacentral:rRNA from 1 species